GAAGGGGGCUGCUCCUAGUACGAGAGGACCGGAGUGGACGAACCUCUGGUGUACCGGUUGUGACGCCAGUCGCAUCGCCGGGUAGCUAUGUUCGGAAGAGAUAACCGCUGAAAGCAUCUAAGCGGGAAACUCGCCUUAAGAUGAGAUAUCCCUGGAGGCUUGACCUCCUUGAAGGGUCGUUCGAGACCAGGACGUUGAUAGGUCGGGUGUGUAAGCGCAGUAAUGCGUUCAGCUAACCGAUACUAAUUGCCCGUAAGGCUUGAUCCUAUAACA
rnacentral:rRNA from 1 species